rnacentral:rRNA from 1 species
AUUGAACGCUGGCGGCAUGCCUUACACAUGCAAGUCGAACGGUAACGGGCCUUCGGGUGCCGACGAGUGGCGAACGGGUGAGUAAUACAUCGGAACGUGCCCGAUCGUGGGGGAUAACGAGGCGAAAGCUUUGCUAAUACCGCAUACGAGCUACGGAUGAAAGCAGGGGACCGCAAGGCCUUGCGCGGACUGAGCGGCCGAUGGCAGAUUAGGUAGUUGGUGGGAUAAAAGCUUACCAAGCCGACGAUCUGUAGCUGGUCUGAGAGGAUGAUCAGCCACACUGGGACUGAGACACGGCCCAGACUCCUACGGGAGGCAGCAGUGGGGAAUUUUGGACAAUGGGCGCAAGCCUGAUCCAGCCAUGCCGCGUGCAGGAUGAAGGCCUUCGGGUUGUAAACUGCUUUUGUACGGAACGAAAAGCAUUCUUUUAAUACAGGAGGGUCAUGACGGUACCGUAAGAAUAAGCACCGGCUAACUACGUG